rnacentral:rRNA from 1 species
GGGGUGCACCAGGCGCGAAAACUUUACAAUGCUGGCAACAGCGAUAAGGGGACCUCGAGUGCCAGGUUACAAAUCUGGCUGUCGUGAUGCCUAAAAAGCAUUGCAUAGCAAGGGCCGGGCAAGACCGGUGCCAGCCGCCGCGGUAACACCGGCGGCUCGAGUGGUAACCGUUAUUAUUGGGUCUAAAGGGUCUGUAGCCGGCCGGAUAAGUCUCUUGGGAAAUCCAGCAGCUCAACUGUUGGGCUUUCAGGAGAUACUGUCUGGCUCGAGGCCGGGAGAGGUGAGAGGUACUUCAGGGGUAGGGGUGAAAUCUUGUAAUCCUUGAAGGACCACCAGUGGCGAAGGCGUCUCACCAGAACGGACCUGACGGCAAGGGACGAAAGCUAGGGGCACGAACCGGAUUAGAUACCCGGGUAGUCCUAGCCGUAAACGAUACUCGCUAGGUGUCGGCCACGGUGCGACCGUUGUCGGUGCCGUAGGGAAGCCGUGAAGCGAGCCACCUGGGAAGUACGGCCGCAAGGCUGAAACUUAAAGGAAUUGGCGGGGAGCACAAGGGCGAAUUCGCGG